GGAUAAGCCCCAAAUAUACUGUCCUGCAAAGAUGAGAGCUAUUCCGUGAUACUGAAUAAUCAAAUAUAAAAUUUAAAUGUUAUUUUACCAUCCCCCCCAACCUCACCAAACAGAUGUAACCUAUUCUGAGAUAUUUAAUUAAGGCAUAUAAUCACAUUGCUCACAUGCCACACCUAUACUCUCCGAUCAGUGAUUGCAUCUAAUAAUACUUUAAAUCCAUUGAAAUUCCACAUUAAACACAGUUGUACCUGUAAAUAAUCCAAGCUGUUUAAAGUUUGCUGCAAAUGCAUUCACACUCCACUUUUUUUAAGUUGUAAAUUAUGAUGGCAUUUGUCAAGCUGUCCCUCCAUCUGGAAGCACAGUCAAAUAUCAGGUGUUCCACAUUAAUUUUUUGGAUGCUUUGGAAAGACAGCUCAUCUAAUAGUGUACAAAUGUACCAAAAUGCAUCUCAGCCUAAUAAUUUACCUUACACAAGUGGAUAUUAUUAUUAUUUUUAAUACCAUAGUCAGAAAGAAGGCUUAUGAGUCACCUUUCAUUUCUGGAAAGUUAGUACCACAAAUUUAGAAACAAUCAAAGUUUAGCUUGCUUAAUCCCGGACUUCCCUGGAGUCUGGGAUUAAGCAAUUUUUUAAAACAUUUUUAUAAGGUGAGUUUUCUCCCCAAAGGUCGGAGACUUUGAUUGAUCAUAAAACCUCCCCCCACCCGCCUCAUCUGAUUUUCCAAGGCUAGAUUAACUCCUAUUCAAACUGACCAAAAGAUAAUGACUAAAAAUCACUUGGGCUCAAUAUUUCAAGUUUUCCUGCUUCAUCAAACGAACAUGGUAGAGUUUAUGCAACUACAUACGUCUUAUAUUCUAUAUAAGCCUUUGCAUGCUCACGUACACGUGUGGGUGCUACAUCUCUGCAUAUAUAUUAUGAAAUGCCAUAAUAAGUUCAGGUAACACAGUGAAGCUAUAAAUUCCCGUCAGAAAUUUAUUUAAAAAUUACUUAUUGAUGUUCUCCGUUCAGGCACUAAGAUAGGUAUUAGCAAUACCCUUGUGUAUAAUAGCGACAAUGUGCUUCUCAUGAAAAUGAAGCCACUAGCUCAACAACUCCUACCAUCAAAUAGUGAUUUUUGAGCAAGCAGUUUAACUGAAUGGGAUAAUUGUGAGAGUUAAAUGGCAAAAUGUAUAUGUUAAUAUUUUGUAAAUUACAAAAUGCCAUGUAAUGUUACACACUGAAUACUUAAAGAUAUGUUCUUCAGUGCUCGUAUCCUGAAGAUACAGAACUGGUAUAAGACUGACUAUGAGUGAUUUGGGGUAAAAUGCAGUGUGAGUAAGAAGUUUGUAGACUUAGCUGAUUUAAGGUAGAGAAAAAAAUAUCCUCUAGAAUGAAUAGUUCCUAAAUUUCCCUCAUUACCUCAAGGCCUUUGCCUCAGGCUUGUUACUUCUCUCUCACAAUCAAAAUUUACCAUCGUUCUAGCACCCGGUAAUUUACAACCUCAACCUUGGGUGUCUUGCUGGAAUUGUACUCUUUCACAGUUUCAAUUACAUUUGUAUUUGGAAUGGAGACAACCCUGCUGAAGUUAUUCGUUGUUUCUGUUCCUCCUGAGUUCAUCUUUUCCCUCUCUCCAUCCUGCCUCAUUCCCCACUCUCGUUGGUCCUCAUCCAGAGAGCACUUCCCAAUAAAUAAACUUCCUGCAUGCACAUUUCUAUCUGAGUCUACUUCCCAGGAGACCUAAGCUGCAUUACCACUACUAUAUGUUAUUUAGUAGAAUAUAGACUAUAUUGCAUGUUAGAAUAUAUUGCAUGUAAAAGGUACUUAAUUAUCCACAUAUCUGGACAUAAAGAAUUGACUCACAAAAUAAAGCCUUAUCAUUUAUUUCAAUAGAGAUAUUCUUACAUUUGUUUAUAUGUUUAUUCGUAUCACAAAUAACCAUAUGCCUAAUAUAUACCAGGUACAGUGAAAAAUAUUCAGGGUAUCAUGAUGAGCAAAAAAGUGAAGUUUAUAUGCAUACAGCUGGUAGAUGAGAUAGGGAGAUGAACAUCUGUCAAGUAAUCACAAAAAGUGUAGUAUUUGUUGUCAAUAAUAACAUCAAGGAAAAAAUAGAGAACAGCUGUAUCAGAUGGACUGGGAAAUCAGAGAGGACACCUUGAGAAAAUGACCUUGCUACUAAUUUCUAAAGGACAAUAGGAAAUAAGAAGGCUAAAAAAUCUCUGCAAAGACUCCCAGGACAGUGGAAUCCUGAUGGAAGGGAAAGAAGGUUCUGAUAGCUGGAGAGCAGGCAGCUAGGGGAAAAUGACCCAGAGUGAGGCAAUAGAGACAGGUGUAGCCUACAGUGCUAUACUCUUAGUUUAAAAUUUUGAAUAUCAUCCUACAAGAAAGAGGAAGGCAUGGAAGUUUUUUAAUGCAGUGGAAUGACGUAAUCAAAUAUAUAUUUUGAAGUAUCACUCUGAUUGCAAUGUAUGUGUAAUUGCAUAUUCAUACAUUCACUUGGGUGAAUGUGUGAAAAUCAGUGAAGUCAAGUGAUUUCUGGGGAUGGGUUCUGUCAUUUCCUCCACAUGCUAGCCUGGGUGAUAAUCACCAUUGUCAUGGAAACAAAAAUAGUUUCCUACAAUGCAUAUAUAAAUGCCAUUGUCAUUUAUCAUUUUCUAACAAUUAAAAAGCCGAGCUCUUUUUUUUUUAAUUGAGAUGUAGUUGAUUUAUAAUAUUAUAUUAGUCUCAGGUGUACAACACAGUGACUCAAAAAUUUCAGAGCUUAUACUCCAUUUGAAAUUAUGGUAAAAUAUUGGCUAUAUUCCAUGUGCUAUACAGUUUAUCCCUGUAACUUAGUAGUUUAUUUAUUUUAUACAUAGUCAUUCAUAGUUUUAUACAUAGUAGUUUCUUAAUCCUCUCCCCCUAUCUUGCCCUUCCCUCCUUCCCUCUCCCUACUGAUAAUCACUUGUUUGUUGUCUCUAUCUGUGAGUCUUUUUCUGUUAUGUUGAUUCUGGCCCCAGGCUCCAGCCCUACUCUCCAGUCGGCAAGCACCAGCUUUGGGAUGCCACAGAACCCAUACUAGCCAUAUCAGGAACUGGCCCCACACACCAGCAGGUCAACACUAAAUCUGUCCACCACCCACCUCAGCACCUGGCUGUGCUCACCAGUGAGCUAGCACCAGCAAUGAGACUCCACAACCCCAGGGUUCCCCAGCCAGCUGCUUGUCACUUGGCCCCACCAAAGAGUGGCCAGCAGUUUCUGCACAAGGUAGGGCCUGACAACCAACCAGACUGGCAGCCGGCCACCCACAGCCAACCUCAACAGAAGUACCCAUGCAGCCCACAUAGGGGGCACCCCUAGAACUUAUAACACUAGUAACCAGGGGAGAUUAUACCACUGGGACUCAGAGGACGUUUCCUACCAAAGGCCACUUUUCCCAGGUUAGGAAGCAAAACCAACCUACAAGAUAUACAGAAAUACAAACAACAACGCUGAAAAAAAUAAAGCAAUAAAGGAAUAUGUUCCAAACAAAGGAAGGAGAUAAAAUCCCAGAGGAAGGUCUAAGUGGAGAUAGGUAGUCUACCAGAUAAAGAAUUCAAAGUAAUGGUCAUAAAGAUGACCAAAGAACUUGGGAGGAGAAUAGAUGAACAAAGUGAAAAGUUAGAGGUUUUUAACAAAGAGUUAGAAAACAUAAAGAAGCCACAGAUAUCACCAGAAGAUUAUGAAACUCAAGAAGCAGCUCUACAGCAUCUAUGCCACGCACACCAAACAGAGCCUGCAGAUGAUCAAGUUGGCUAUGGAGAGAUACUGCUACAUGAACCCCACGGAGGCCCAGGAGUUUUGCAUCUUAGACAAAGUUCUAAUUCACUCUCCCUAGGAUGAUGGGAAUGAGUCUGAGCUGAUGCAGAAGGAGGCAGUGGUGGCAAUGGCAGCAGCAGAACCUGCCCCAGCAAGCAUCUGAGAGCUGGCCCUUACCCUCACCCUCUAAAGGAAAGUAGAGGAGCCAUAUGCCAGCCAUGCCUGCCUCCUGCUACUGAGGCUUGGGGGGCCUUGAGGAACUCUGAAUUUAAAGGUGCCCCAAAGGUGGGUAUCUUGGCUGAGACAGUGUGAUGUUAAAUUAAAUCUUUGUAGUCUUUGAAAAUAUAUAUACAUAUAUUGCUUUAUAUAAACCUCAUGUCAACAACAGCCCAAAAAUAUAUAAAUAUAAACACUCAAAGAAGAUAAGUGAAUCCAAACAUGACAUUAAAGAUAACCAUCAAGCCAUAAGGGAAAAGAACAAAAUAAGAAAAUUACUAUAAAAAUGACCCCAAAACAAUUAGCAAAGGGGCAAUAAGUACAUACCUGUCAGGGAUGAAUGGAUAUAAAAAAUAAACUAUAUAUACUCUGCCUGUAAAAGAGUACUUAAGAUCUAAAGACUCAUACAGACUAACAGAGAAUGGAAAAAAAGUAUUCUAUUCAAAUGUAAAUCAAAAGAAUGCUAGGGUAGCAAUACUUGUCGAAAAUAGACUUUAAAACAAAGACUAACAGAGACAAAGAAGGGCAUUAUAUAAUGAUCAAGGGAUUAAUCCAAAAAGGUAUAAUAAUUUAAAAUACAUUUGCACCCCAAAUAGGAACACCUAAAUACAGGAAGCAAAUAUUAGCAGACAUAAACAGAGCUGUCGACAGUAACCCAAUAAUAGUAGGGGACUUUUAACACCCUACUUACCUCAAUGGACGGAUCAUCCAAACAGAAAAUCAGUAAGGAAACACUGGCCCUAAAUCACACAUUAAAGCAGAUGGACUUAAUUUA
rnacentral:lncRNA from 1 species